rnacentral:rRNA from 1 species
UACGUAGGGUGCGAGCGUUGUCCGGAAUUAUUGGGCGUAAAGAGCUUGUAGGCGGUUUGUCGCGUCUGCCGUGAAAUUUCGAGGCUCAACCUCGAACUUGCGGUGGGUACGGGCAGACUAGAGUGUGGUAGGGGAGACUGGAAUUCCUGGUGUAGCGGUGAAAUGCGCAGAUAUCAGGAGGAACACCGAUGGCGAAGGCAGGUCGCUGGGCCACUACUGACGCUGAGAAGCGAAAGCAUGGGGAGCGAACAGG